rnacentral:rRNA from 1 species
UGGGGAAUUUUGGACAAUGGGGGCAACCCUGAUCCAGCAAUGCCGCGUGAGUGAAGAAGGCCUUCGGGUUGUAAAGCUCUUUUGUCAGGGAAGAAACGGUAGUAGCGAAUAACUAUUACUAAUGACGGUACCUGAAGAAUAAGCACCGGCUAACUACGUGCCAGCAGCCGCGGUAAUACGUAGGGUGCAAGCGUUAAUCGGAAUUACUGGGCGUAAAGCGUGCGCAGGCGGUUGUGUAAGUCAGAUGUGAAAUCCCCGGGCUCAACCUGGGAAUUGCAUUUGAGACUGCACGGCUAGAGUGUGUCAGAGGGGGGUAGAAUUCCACGUGUAGCAGUGAAAUGCGUAGAUAUGUGGAGAAAUACCGAUGGCGAAGGCAGCCCCCUGGGAUAACACUGACGCUCAUGCACGAAAGCGUGGGGAGCAAACAGGAUUAGAUACCCCUGUAGUCCCUGAGCGGGCUGGCAAGGCGCAU